rnacentral:tRNA from 1 species
GCUUAAGUAGUUUAAUUUAAAAUAUUGACUUGUGGGGUCGUUGAUGUAGUGUUUUACCUUGGGUA